rnacentral:rRNA from 1 species
UACGGGAAGGCAGCAGUGGGGAAUAUUGCACAAUGGGCGCAAGCCUGAUGCAGCCAUGCCGCGUGUAUGAAGAAGGCCUUCGGGUUGUAAAGUACUUUCAGUCGUGAGGAAGGUGUUAAGGUUAAUAACCUUAGCAAUUGACGUUAGCGACAGAAGAAGCACCGGCUAACUCCGUGCCAGCAGCCGCGGUAAUACGGAGGGUGCGAGCGUUAAUCGGAAUUACUGGGCGUAAAGGGCACGCAGGCGGUUAAUUAAGUUGGAUGUGAAAUCCCCGGGCUUAACCUGGGAAUGGCAUUCAAGACUGGUUAGCUAGAGUCUUGUAGAGGGGGUAGAAUUCCAUGUGUAGCGGUGAAAUGCGUAGAGAUGUGGAGGAAUACCGGUGGCGAAGGCGGCCCCUGGACAAAGACUGACGCUCAUGUGCGAAAGCGUGGGGAGCGAAAC